CGUCGCGCUUCCUACUCCCACUCCGUUUCCUCCUCGUUUGGAUUCUAUCCCUCCGACGAUCCAAAAUCAGCGAUCGCAUUCACCCUUCCUUCCUCUUCCUCUCUCUCUCUCUCCCCGUUUGCAAGUAGAGUUUGCCAUACUGGGCAAGCCUUGCCCCACACUCCUCUCCAUAUAAUCCGUCCAUUCACCUUCCUUCCUCUUCCUCUCUCUCUCUCGCUCUCCGUUUGCAAGUCGAGUUUGCCAUACUGGGCAAGCCUUGCCCCACACUCCUCUCCAUAUAAUCCGCCCAUUCACCCUUCCUUCCUCUUCCUCUCUCUCUCUCUCUCUCUCUCUCUCUCUCUCUCUCCGUUUGUAAGUAGAGUUUGCCAUACUGGGCAAGCCAUGCCCCACACUCCUCUCCAUAUAAUCCGCCCAUUCACCCUCCUCGCCCCAACCUAGUUUCUUGGCCGCCGACGCGGGUUCCGCGAUUACCGUCAUAUGCAUUCUCUUUCUCCAAUCGCAAGUCGUUGGCGUUUGCUUUCUUCUUCUUGUUACUGAUCUUGAUGCUAUUUCGGUGUUUCGUAGUUCUGGUGAGCUGGGAUGGGUUCGCCUGCGAAGGAGUCCGCUUUCGCCUCCACCUCCGAAGCUGCGGCGCCUCAACAACUGCAGCCUCCGGUGUGGGCGCUGGAAACCGCAGCGGCAGCGGCAGCCAAGGGGAGGGCAGUGCCGUCUGUCUUCCUGCGGACCCAGAUGACGCCUUAUCCGGCUCCUACAAUCCAGGAGAGGCCUCUGCCGCAGGUGGAGGAGGAGAGGAACGAGAGUCCCGCAAGCAAAGCAGAGGGAUCUCAAGAGAAAUCUGGACGUGUUGACAGAAAAUCCUCUGCGUCUGGAAAGAAUUCUAGCUCUAGCUACGUUGAUCACGAUGAAUGGAAGGGCUUCUUGUCAUCUAGAAAGAGAAGAUACGAAGACAUAGUCACCAAGGGUGAAGCUUUACAUCUGGUAACUGCUGAUCAACAUAAUGGUGUCGACAUCGAAGCAUCUGAUGUUAGAGGGGAGCAUUCUGUCAAAACGCUGUCAGUUUCACCAGAAUCACUACUGCUAAGGGCAUUGCCACCUGGUUCUGAAACUGAAUUGAACACAGAGAUCAACCAAUGUAGUUAUCCAUCACCACUGCUAGGAAAUGACCCGGUUGCGCAUAAACAACAGCGGUUGCAGGAUGACGACGAAUUCAGGGAGAGAAGAAAACAGGCAAAUAGGGAGUCAGCAAGAAGGUCAAGAAUACGUAAAAGGCAAGAAUACGAGGACUCAGCAAGGAUGAUGGCCGUAUUGAAAAAUGAGAAUGAUGUACUCAGAGCAAAGAAUGAAAUUCUCAUGAAAAGGAUCAAGGAUUUAGAAGCUGGAAGCAUAAGAAUCAUGGAGAUAUUGAGCAGACUUUACUGGCCUGCUGAUACGUUGGAUGUACUGGGCAUCAGACCGUCGUAGAAGUUUUCAAGACACGACAAUCCUGAAUGUGCUUCUAGGUGAAUACAUUCCUGUUGCUUGGACCCUGCAAGCUUGAACCCCUGACACUUGCUUACUGAUGAAGUUAGUCAGGAGAGGACUCUGAGCCAAGAUGGGUAAAGAUAAUUCAAGAAGAUGCCAAGCUGCUGCUUGUGAGAAGGCAAAAAACAUGCAAACCGAUUGAUGUUUAAUGGUCCAAUGAUACACAGAUGUGAAAUGUAUAGUUAUUUUUUGUUUUAGUUUUAUUUGAUAUACGAUACCGUAUCGAUCUAAUAGAUUAGUUCUGGAUUGAUACGAUGAAGUUAUCUUGUUGAUUAAAUGGCAAAAGCAGGUUUCGAUCCUAAAGAAUUCUGAUACGAUGAAGUUAUCUUGUUGAUUAUAAUAGGUUAUCUUGUUGCAAGCAAGGAAGGAUGUUGGAGGAGUCGCUGUGUAGAUGCUGAUGCACCAGAGAGAAGACUGUCCUUUGACUGUUCUCCGGCAAGCGGAAAGGAGUCCUUGCAUGAUUCUGCAGAUUGAUACGCCCAUUAAAGGGUUGGUCAACCAGAUGGUCGGCGUACAGGAUAGAAGAAGAGACUCCAAUCAUAGUUGCAGGAAUCUGUACCAUUCAUCUAUACUGUACAGGCAAAGGUGAACCCUUCGGAGUACAUUUCCCUGAAGGAAGCAGCAGGAGUCGCGGUGUCCGUAGCCUGCUGCAGAGGUAUUGGAUCAUAAAUGGAUCAGUUUGUGUCUGUCUUCAUCAGCUCUCUCAUCUCCAUUUAGUGACGAAGAGACGAUGAGGCAGAUCCAUUGAUGA